CUGCUGCCUCCCGUAGGAGUUUGGGCCGUGUCUCAGUCCCAAUGUGGCCGUUCACCCUCUCAGGCCGGCUACUGAUCGUCGCCUUGGUGGGCCUUUACCCCGCCAACUAGCUAAUCAGACGCGGAUCCAUCGUAUACCACCGGAGUUUUUCACACUGCUUCAUGCGAAGCUGUGCGCUUAUGCGGUAUUAGCACCUAUUUCUAAGUGUUAUCCCCCAGUAUACGGCAGGUUCUCCACGCGUUACUCACCCGUCCCG
rnacentral:rRNA from 1 species